GUAGGGAAUAUUGCGCAAUGGGGGAAACCCUGACGCAGCGACGCCGCGUGAGUGAUGAAGGCCUUCGGGUCGUAAAGCUCUGUUGCAGGGGAAUAAAAAAAUGAAGGUACCCUGUGAGGAAGGAUCGGCUAACUUCGUGCCAGCAGCCGCGGUAAGACGAGGGAUCCUAGCGUUGCUCGGAAUCAUUGGGCGUAAAGAGGGCGUAGGUGGCUUGGUAAGUCAGGUGUGAAAGCCCAGGGCUCAACCCUAGAAGUGCAUUUGAUACUGCUGAGCUUGAGUGUCGGAGAGGUUACCGGAAUACCUGGUGUAGUGGCGAAAUACGUAGAUAUCAGGUGGAACACCGGAGGCGAAGGCGGGUAACUGGACGAACACUGACACUGAGGCCCGAAAGCGUGGGGAUCAAACAGGAUUAGAAACCCUGGUAGUCC
rnacentral:rRNA from 1 species